UUCAUUCCCAGUGCAUCUUGUCCCACAGGCUCCCUCCGGCCCUUGUGGCCAGCAGCUAUGUCCUUGUGUAAUGCAAAACCCUCAGGGAACCAGAGGGUGCUGUGUUCUCGCUUUCGCCUGGCAACCAUGACACCCAGGAUGAAGAUGAUGAGUAGAAAGACAGCCCCUGCCACCAGCAGUGGCAGCAGUGGCACGCUCUGCUCUGGGGCCUCCAGCGGCUCUCCUGUAGGAUGGAAGCAGCAGAUGAGCCUUCAGCCAAGUAUCAGGGCAGGAACGAGUGAGCAGAUUUCAGCCAUGGGCGAUACUCAGCUAUAAGCAGGGCUGUAGCCGUGGAGCAGGACUACAAGUAAGGUUUCAAUUUUAAGUGGCUCUUACCCAUGGGGUUGGCUUAGCUAUGGGACAGCUUCAGCCAGAAGAUGGGGCUUUACUCACAGGGCUUCAACCAUACUAUAGGAUUCAACCAUCUCUGGGGCUACACGCUCUAAUGUACUACCCUCUCUUCUUCCCAGCUCACCUCGCACAUCCCGAAGUGGGUAUGGGAAAUCAAGUCGCUCCACUGCUGACAAGGCUCCCAGGUAGUCAGCAGCACUCUGGGCAUCAGGGAAGCAGUGGUCAUUCUCAGCUGACUGCAGACAGAGCCGGUUGUCAAUCUCCAGCAUCACCACAGAGCUGUGGGAACAGAGCAGAGGGACCCAAAGGCUCAACACUUGUCUACAGCAUCCUAGACACCCGACCUCAGAGAGCCACAUCCGUCUCCACUCUCCAUGUCUCUACCACCCACCCAGCUCUCAGCUGGCAUCCAACUCCACUGUCUCUCCCAACAGAUCUUAUUGGUCACAGUGUCUCAAAGCUGUGAAUUCAAUAAUGUCUUCAUUCGCCCUGGUAGAGUCUGUUGGUGUCGCCCUUUGCUGGGACAGUGUACCAUGUCAGUUUCUCUAAAAGCUUGCUUUUUCUCCUUUAUCCUUCUUUGUGGUAUUGGAGAUGAACUUGGGGCCUUGAAUAUACAAGGCAUGCGUCGUCAUGGCACUUGGGGACCUACACACACACAUCAUGCACACAAGAAGGUGCUGUCACCUGCAUUUGAAGAGUAAAAUCUCAGCGCUGCAGCGAGGCUCCCUGUAGUGUACAGAGGAUGAACCCCCCCCCCCCCCAUAGCAAAGAUGUCAACCCGACAGACACGGAAAAACCUGUGGAAGACGCCUUGCCAAGAGAGCUCUCAACUAAGAAGCGUGAAACAGACGGUCUGGACCACGGGUGCCCUAACCGCUGUACCCAGCCCUGAGCCACAGUCACUCACCCGAUCACCUCAGGACCCAGCUCACGACGGACCCGGGAUUCAGAGCCAGGGCUUGGCCGGUGAUAGGGGAAGACCAUGGCCUGGCCACGUGCGUCCAAGCGGAAGCGCAGUGAGGUGCGCAGAAUAGCGCUGAGUCGCUGCAGAAAGUCGGCACUGGAGCGCAGCAACUCUUCAGGAGGCAGAAGAACUGUGAGGACCAGAACCCCUCGGGCCAAAAGGGCCGGGACCUCGCUGGCACAGUCCAGCCCAUCCCAGCCGCAUUCCUCAGUGUUGCAGCCCUGGUCACAACGGCCAUCUGCAAAGUGGUCGGCGCAGUACUUCUCAUAAACAGGGCUGGGGACAGAGAACACAAACUCAGAGAUUCUUCGGGUCACCUAAAUGCACACACAGAGAAUAGCAGUAGUGGACAGUGCUGGUAUGGGGUUGGGGAUGGUGGUGGUGGGAAAUGUUCUUGCAUAUGCUUUCUGCAAAUGCAGUCGUUGGCUGCAUAAGCACAAGUUCUGUGUUCCUAAUUUGAAAUAAUUGGGACUAAAACUAUUUCAGAGUUCAAAUUAUAGUUUUAGAAUAUUUACACAUAUGCUUAAAUAUUAUAUAUGCAAAUAAAUGCAAUGAGAUAUCUUUCUAUAAAUAUUUUAAGAUAAGAUCUCAUGUAUCUCAAGCUGGCCUCAAACUCCCUAUGUUAGUCAGACAGGCUGGCAUAUACCUUUAAUUCCAGUACUCCAGAGGCAGAGACAAGGAUAUCUCUGUGUGUUCAGGGCCAGCCUGAUUUACACAGCCAAUUCCAGCCAGGAAUUGUGAGGCCCUAUUUUUAUUUUUAUUAUUUAUUUAUUUAUUUAUUUUAUUUAUUUAUUUUGGUUUUUCGAGACAGGGUUUCUCUGUGUAGCUCUGGCUGUCCUGGAACUCACUUUGUAGACCAGGCUGGCUUUGAACUCAGAUAUCCACUUGCUUCUGCCUCCCAAGUGCUGGAAUUAAAGGCAUGCGCCACCACACCUGGCUGAAGCCUUAUUUUUAACAAAGAAAACAAAACUAUGUUGCUGAGGGUGAUCUUGAACUUAUUAUCCUCCUGAUCCACCUGCUGAGAGCCAAGAUUACAAGCACACAGCACCUCUCACAGUUUAGGUGGUGCUGGGGACCCAAGCCUGGCUCUGUGGAUGUUAGGCAAGCAUUCCAUCAAGUGAGCUACAUCCCCAGCCCUCUAUACAUAAUUUAUAUAAGGCACCUCUGGGAUGAGGCCCAAGUCUAAAGACAAAAAUACACAUACCCAAAAGUAACUAUAUAUUUUUAGUGUGCCUGCCUUUGGUGGUUGUUUUAUUUCCAUGCUGGGCGGGGAUUGAACCAAGGGCCACAUGCCAUCUAGGAAGGUGCUCUGCCACUACAGACCAACCUGUGUCUGAAUUUUGACUGUAACUUAUCAUUGGGGCAAAGGAUGGAAUUUUCCACUGUGGCAUCAUGCCCAUGCCCCACAUGGCUCAGGGAUUCAGGUUUGGGAUUUGGGAUGCUCAACCAGUAUCACUAUUGUAUGCUCUUGAAUGAGCACCUGCUGUGGGCUCCUGUUUUGCUUUGUUUGUUUGUUUGUUUGUUUUUGUUUUGAGACAGGGUAUCACUGUGUGGCCUUGGCUGGCCUAGAACUCACUAUGUAGAUCAUGCUGGCCUUGAAUCCCUACAGAGACCUGCUGUCUAUGCCUCUGAAAUGCUGGCAUUAAAAUGUGUGAGCAACUA